rnacentral:rRNA from 1 species
AACGAACGCUGGCGGCAGGCUUAACACAUGCAAGUCGAACGCAUCGCAAGAUGAGUGGCAGACGGGUGAGUAACGCGUGGGAAUCUACCCAGUUCUACGGAACAACAGGUGGAAACGACUGCUAAUACCGUAUACGCCCUACGGGGGAAAGAUUUAUCGGAAUUGGAUGAGCCAGCGUAAGAUUAGCUAGUUGGUGGGGUAAUGGCCUACCAAGGCGACGAUCUUUAGCUGGUCUGAGAGGAUGAUCAGCCACACUGGGACUGAGACACGGCCCAGACUCCUACGGGAGGCAGCAGUGGGGAAUAUUGGACAAUGGGCGCAAGCCUGAUCCAGCCAUGCCGCGUGAGUGAUGAAGGCCUUAGGGUUGUAAAGCUCUUUCACCGAUGAAGAUAAUGACGGUAGUCGGAGAAGAAGCCCCGGCUAACUUCGUGCCAGCCGCCGCAGUAACAC